GACGAACGCUGGCGGCGUGCCUAAUACAUGCAAGUAGAACGCACAGUUUAUACCGUAGCUUGCUACACCAUAAACUGUGAGUUGCGAACGGGUGAGUAACGCGUAGGUAACCUGCCUGGUAGCGGGGGAUAACUAUUGGAAACGAUAGCUAAUACCGCAUAAUAUUGAUUAUUGCAUGAUAAUUGAUUGAAAGAUGCUAUUGCAUCACUACCAGAUGGACCUGCGUUGUAUUAGCUAGUAGGUGAGGUAACGGCUCACCUAGGCGACGAUACAUAGCCGACCUGAGAGGGGAAUAGGCCUAGCUGGGACGGGAGCACGGCCCAGAACCCUGCGGGAGACAGCAGUAGGGAAUCUUCGGGAAUGGACGAAAGGCUGAACGUGCAACGCCGCGUGAGUGAAGAAGGUAUUCGGAUCGUAAAGCUCUGUUGUAAGAGAAGAACGGGAGUGAGAGUGGAAAGUUCACACUGUGACGGUAUCUUACCAGAAAGGGACGGCUAACUACGUG
rnacentral:rRNA from 1 species